rnacentral:rRNA from 1 species
AGUGAACGCUGGCGGUAGGCCUAACACAUGCAAGUCGGACGGCAGCACAGUAAGAGCUUGCUCUUACGGGUGGCGAGUGGCGGACGGGUGAGGAAUACAUAGGAAUCUACUUUUUCGUGGGGGAUAACGUAGGGAAACUUACGCUAAUACCGCAUACGACCUACGGGUGAAAGCAGGGGAUCUUCGGACCUUGCGCGAUUGAAUGAGCCGAUGUCGGAUUAGCUAGUUGGCGGGGUAAAGGCCCACCAAGGCGACGAUCCGUAGCUGGUCUGAGAGGAUGAUCAGCCACACUGGAACUGAGACACGGUCCAGACUCCUACGGGAGGCAGCAGUGGGGAAUAUUCGACAAUGGGCGCAAGCCUGAUCCAGCCAUACCGCGUGGGUGAAGAAGGCCUUCGGGUUGUAAAGCCCUUUUGUUGGGAAAGAAAAGCAGCAGGUUAAUACCCCGCUGUUCUGACGGUACCCAAAGAAUAAGCACCGGCUAACUUCGUG